GACGAACGCUGGCGGCGUGCCUAAUACAUGCAAGUUGAGCGCUGAAGGUUGGUACUUGUACCAACUGGAUGAGCAGCGAACGGGUGAGUAACGCGUGGAGAAUCUGCCUUUGAGCGGGGGACAACAUUUGGAAACGAAUGCUAAUACCGCAUAAAAACUUUAAACACAAGUUUUAAGUUUGAAAGAUGCAAUUGCAUCACUCAAAGAUGAUCCCGCGUUGUAUUAGCUAGUUGGUGAGGUAAAGGCUCACCAAGGCGAUGAUACAUAGCCGACCUGAGAGGGUGAUCGGCCACAUUGGGACUGAGACACGGCCCAAACUCCUACGGGAGGCAGCAGUAGGGAAUCUUCGGCAAUGGACGAAAGUCUGACCGAGCAACGCCGCGGGAGUGAAGAAGGUUUUCGGAUCGUAAAACUCUGUUGGUAGAGAAGAACGUUGGUGAGAGUGGAAAGCUCAUCAAGUGACGGUAACUACACAGAAAGGGACGGCUGACUACGUG
rnacentral:rRNA from 1 species